UGAGGAAUUUUGCGCAAUGGGAGCAAUCCUGACGCAGCAACGCCGCGUGGGUGAUGAAGGCCUUCGGGUCGUAAAGCCCUGUCAGGUGGGAAGAAUGUCCCGGGACUGAACAGGUUCCGGGAGUGACGGUACCACCAGAGGAAGCCCCGGCUAACUUCGUGCCAGCAGCCGCGGUAAUACGAAGGGUGCAAGCGUUAUUCGGAAUUACUGGGCGUAAAGCGCGUGUAGGCGGUCCUGCAAGUCUGAUGUGAAAGCCCCGGGCUUAACCCGGGAAGUGCAUUGGAAACUGUGGGACUUGAGUACUGGAGAGGAUGGGGGAAUUCCCGGUGUAGAGGUGAAAUUCGUAGAGAUCGGGAGGAAUAUCAGUGGCGAAGGCGCCCAUCUGGACGGUAACUGACGCUGAGACGCGAAAGCGUGGGGAGCAAACA
rnacentral:rRNA from 1 species